UGUUCCUCCCUCCCAGAGACCCUGCCGGUCCUCCCCGCCGGGCUCCCUCGCAGCUCGCAGCUCGCAGCUCGGGGAAAGGGCGGGCUGCGCCCUCAGGACCUUUCUCAGCAGCCACAGCAGCGCAUCCCAGCACCUCCUCCAGGAGCCCCGCCAUCUCCUGCCACCCGGACUUUCCCCACAGCGCAGCAUCCCCUAGUCCCUUCAGGGCUGGAACAGUGGUACCCGCAGACGGUGCAAUAGGGAAGUCCCUUUUGCCUUUCCAUGGAAGCUGUAGGGCGCUUAGAGCUGCUGGGGGAGGAAAAGAAAGAAGAAGAAGAAAUACACGCCUGUGACCCGGACCCAGCGCGCGACUCACAGACCCCGGCUCUGGGCACCCCUGGUGAGUGCCUUCUGCCCCAGAGCUCCACACAGCACCAGCCUGCACGCUCCCCCAGCUUCAGUUCAUUUGCUGCUGUCCUGACAGGUCAGUCGCUUGAGCAUCCAUGCUGCCAGGUGACAAACCCAGUCACGCAGAGGUGUACAUCCUUUAGCCAGGGUGACACGAUGUGGAGCUGAAUCCAAGUCCGGGAGUCUGGUGACCGUAUCUGGGCUCUGACUGCGCAGCUGUCUCACAGUGAAACAAAUUGGGGACUGGCCUUGUCCUGAGUGGCCUUAGGACGGUGCAGUGGCCUGCAGCCUCCUGUCCAGUCCCCACCAUUGACAAGUGCAUCGAUGUCCCACAGCUGUGCCACUAGAGGCUGUUUGACUGUGGUAGUUUCACAUGUAUCUGCUUAGUCCUCUUUUGCCAGACUUUACGCUUUGUGUGCCAGUUCCAAUUUAGGUAAAAAUUCUGGAUAUUCUCGGUUAUCCCACGUGGAGGAAGGACUGAGCAAACUCACAUCCAUCACCCUGACCAGGGCCUGAGAGCAGCAGCCUCUCCGCGGGCAACUCUGUUACUAGGACUCUGGGCGUGAGGGGAAGCGGAGGGGGCAGCUCUGUUACUAAGAGUUAGGGAACCCAGCGGAGCUCCACUGUAAGUGAAUGUCUAGUUCGACUAUAUUUUCUUGUAGAAUCAUUAACUCCAAAAGAAUUGAAUUGAAUGAUGUACAAUUCACAAACACACGACUUUACCAUCUCACCAGAAACACUCUUACCACAAGGACACUAAGUUGAUUCUGUAAAAUGUGGGAAAUACAAUGCACCUCGAAGCCUUG
rnacentral:lncRNA from 10 species